rnacentral:rRNA from 1 species
UACGUAGGGUGCGAGCGUUAAUCGGAAUUACUGGGCGUAAAGCGUGCGCAGGCGGUUUUGUAAGCCAGAUGUGAAAUCCCCGGGCUUAACCUGGGAAUGGCAUUUGGGACUGCAAGGCUUGAGUGCGGCAGAGGAGAGUGGAAUUCCUGGUGUAGCGGUGAAAUGCGCAGAUAUCAGGAAGAACACCGAUGGCGAAAGCAGCUCUCUGGGACGGUACUGACGCUGAGGCGCGAAAGCGUGGGGAGCGAACAGG